rnacentral:rRNA from 1 species
GACAGAGGCCUCGAGCGUUAGGCGGAAUCACUGGGCUUAAAGCGUGUGUAGGCGGCCCGUAAGUGUCUUGUGAAAUCCCACGGCUCAACCGUGGAACUGCCGGGCAUACUGGCGAUCUUGAGGCAUUCAGGGGCGAGCGGAACAAGUGGUGGAGCGGUGAAAUGCGUAGAUAUCACUUGGAACGCCAAUGGUGAAAACAGCUCGCUGGGAAUGAUCUGACACUGAGACGCGAAAGCCAGGGAGCGAACGGG